rnacentral:rRNA from 1 species
CACGUAGGGGGCGAGCGUUGUCCGGAUUUAUUGGGCGUAAAGAGCUCGUAGGCGGCUCAGUAAGUCAGGUGUGAAAACUCCAGGCUCAACCUGGAGACGCCACCUGAUACUGCUGUGGCUAGAGUCCGGUAGGGGAGCAUGGAAUUCCUGGUGUAGCGGUGAAAUGCGCAGAUAUCAGGAGGAACAUCAGUGGCGAAGGCGGUGCUCUGGGCCGGAACUGACGCUGAGGAGCGAAAGCGUGGGGAGCAAACAGG